rnacentral:rRNA from 1 species
AACGAACGCUGGCGGCAGGCCUAACACAUGCAAGUCGAGCGAGGACUUCGGUCCUAGCGGCGGACGGGUGAGUAACGCGUGGGAACGUGCCCUUUGCUUCGGAAUAGCCCUGGGAAACUGGGAGUAAUACCGGAUGAGCCCUUUGGGGGAAAGAUUUAUCGGCGAAGGAUCGGCCCGCGUUGGAUUAGGUAGUUGGUGGGGUAAUGGCCUACCAAGCCGACGAUCCAUAGCUGGUUUGAGAGGAUGAUCAGCCACACUGGGACUGAGACACGGCCCAGACUCCUACGGGAGGCAGGAGUGGGGAAUCUUAGACAAGGGGGGAAACCAUGAACGAGCCAGGCCGGGUGAGCGAUGAAGGCAUUAGGGUUGUAAAGCGCUAUCAGCUGGGAAGAUAAUGACGGUACCAGAAGAAGAAGCCCCGGCUAACUCCGUG